GGAGGCGUAGUCUAAUUGGUAAGGCAUCGCACUCGAAAUGCGACGCGGGCAACCGCUUGGGGGUUCAAGUCCCUCCGCCUCCG
rnacentral:tRNA from 1 species